AGGCCUGGGGAGGAGGCCCAGGUCAGGAAGCCACUAACCCUGGACUCCCCAGCUGGGAGUGAUACUGAGGAAGGGUUGAGGGAGAACUCCAACUCUGAGGCCCCCCACUCCCAGGCCCACAUCCUGCUAUCAUCUUGACCCCAAGCUCUGCUCUCCAGAGGACGUCCGGGCCAGGUCAACCCAGAGGAGCCACCCUUCCCCCUCUCCCCUCCUCACUAAGCUCCAGGCCCCAGUGGGUCACAGCCUCCGCCUCUGGGGAGUCAGCCAGAGCCAGCAGGAGGAGGGGGAGGGGAAGCUGAAGCUGCGGCAGCGGGAGAGGGAGGGGUCUGGCGUACUCUGUCCCCCCGCCUCCAGGAGGGCUACACCUCAAGGUCCACCCGGCUCCCACCCCGUCCCUUCCUCCAGGGCUGCAGGUUUGAUUUCAACCCCUUCCCUGUCUGGGACCUCUGGGCUAGGCCUGGGCCUCCCAGGAGGCAGCCCAGCCAGGCCAGAAGGACACUGCUAGGCACAGACCCUGUGCCCCGGUGCCUGGUCGCCUGUCUUCUAGGGGGUCAGUCCAGAGACCCGUUCCGACAGAUCCGCCGCCGGGCGGGGUGCGGCAGUGUCCGGCGGGAACGGGGGCGUCCCUGUCUGGGCGACAGAGGUCCUCCUAAGAGAUGUCCUGAAGAUGGUGGUGGUGACAGUGUGCUGCCUGAUGCAAUGGAGAGACUCCUGAUGGGAACAGGAGGCCCUGAGUGGAGACUUACCCCAGCUUUCUACUCACAAUCUUGUCAUCUGAGGACUCUAGCAUAAUUACCUUCUUUGGUUAACAAAAGCUGCUUUUACCAAGCAUUAUCUCCCAGAUCAAUGUCCAGGCUCUAGGCAGGACCCGUGGAGACCACAGGUGAGGUAACAGUGACCAGGUAGCUAGGAAGAGGCUCCUCUGCCCUCCCCCAACAUCCUGGCCCAGCCACACUCCAACCACCCAGGCUCCUGCGCUCCAAGUAGGCUGUGCUUGUGCCUGCAUCCCCUUCUCAGACACUGCUCCAGAGAAGUGGACCCUCUGUUGGCCACGGUCAGAGCCUUAAAUGAAUUGGGCUGGUUCAUCCUGAACAGAGCCUAAGAGACUUCAACUUUGUUUACUUCAGUCCUAACUUAAAUUCUAUUUUUACAUUUUAAUUUUUUCAGACCUACAAGAACUGUUAUUGUUGCUUUAAACAGUAUGUACUUAAAUUUAUUUAUUUAUUUAUUUAUUUUUAUUGGUUGUUCACAACAUUACAAAGCUCUUGACAUAUCAUAGUUCAUACAUUAGAUUGAAGUGGGUUAUGAACUCCCAAUUUUACCCCAAAUGCAGAUUGCAGGAUCACGUAAAUUUAUUUAAAUGUUCACCUCUCUCUAGUCUUCAUUCCUUUUUGCAUGUCAGCCCUUUCUGGGAUAUCUUUUUUUCUUGCUUAGAGUACACCUCCUAGAAUUUUCGGUAACACGAAUCUCUGGGUGGUAAAUUCUUUCAGGUUGUCUGAAAAUGUAUUUUGUUCUGAUUCCUGAAAAGCUUUUACUGGAUGUACAAUUCUAGGUAAGGUCUGCACUCUCUGACUCUCUCCCUGCCUGACCCACUCUUUGUACAGAACAGGCAUGUUCCCACCUCAGGGCCCUUGCACUAGCUCUUCAAUCCCUUAGACCAUUUCCCUGACAUGUCCUCUAGGAGCAGCCUGUUACUGUCUGUCUAUACUCAUUAGCACAUGAGCUCCAGAAGGGCAGAGGAGGAAAUCUGGACACAGACACACAUAAGGGAUGACCACAUGAAAACAAGAAGAGAGAGCUGUUCGCAAGCCAAGGAGAGAGGCCCCAAAGAAACCAGCCCUUGAUGAUUCCCUGAACUCAGACUUCUGGCCUCCAGAACCGAGAAGAACAAGAGAGAAGAAGAUCCAGAGAAGACACAAGAUCAAACUCACAGUCUCAGGAGGUACAAGUGGCAAUGACUGAGUCAUGACGCUGAGCACAGUGGCACGUGCCUGCAAUCCCAGAGAGUUGGGAGGCUGAGGCAAAGGACUGAAAAUUCAAGACCACCCUCAGUAGCUUAGGGAUAAAAAUUAAAAGGACACGAGAAGCAGCUUGGUGAUAGAGAAUCCCUGGGUACAAUCCCCAGUAUUGAAAAAAGAGAAUCAUGAAGGAAUCAUUACGGAAGUCAGGUCCAAAGCUGACAUGAUGAAGAUUUGGGUCUGCUUUUCCUCUAUUAGGUCUGUAAUGGAGAUAAGGAUCAAGCUUGCAGUAUCAACAUCCAAGGAAGAAAAAUCAGGCUGAACUCAGAACUUUCUAACUGCAAUAUUUAAGGACUAGGACACAUGGAGUGAGGGGCUGAAUGUUGUAGACCCUAAUGCAAUCACAAAUUCCUCAUAAAAGAGAGGCAGAAGGACAUUGAGCAGAUGAAUGAAGAAGAUGCAGCUUGACUAUGGUGACAGAGAUCAGAAGGAUGCUGCCACAAGCUAAAGAAUGCUUAUAGUGGGGCUGGGGAUGUGGCUCAAGCAGUAGCGCGCUCGCCUGGCAUGCGUGCGGCCCGGGUUCGAUCCUCAGCACCACAUACCAACAAAGAUGUUGUGUCC